rnacentral:rRNA from 1 species
AUUGAACGCUGGCGGCAGGCCUAACACAUGCAAGUCGAGCGAGCGGCGGACGGGUGUGUCAUGUCUGGUGAUCUGCCCGAUAGAGGGGGAUAACUACUGGAAACGGUGGCUAAUACCGCCUACUAUCCGAUGAACCCAUCUGGGAUUAGCUAGUAGGUGGGGUAAAGGCUCCCCAAGGCGACGAUCUCUAGCUGGUCUGAGAGGAUGAUCAGCCACACUGAGACUGAGACACGGCCCAGUCUCCGACGGGAGGCAGCAGUGGAGAAGAUUGCACAAUGGGCGCAAGCCUGAUGCAGCCAUGCCGCGUGUAUGAAGAAGGCCUUAGGGUUGUAAAGUACUUUCAGCGGGGAGGCGUUACCCGCAGAAGAAGCACCGGCUAACUCCGUGCCAGCAGCCGCGGUAAUUC